CCAAAGCAGCCAUCAUUUAAAGAAAGCGUAAUAGCUCACUGAUCGAGUCGUCCUGCGCGGAAGAUGUAACGGGGCUAAGCCAGUUACCGAAGCUGCGGAUUUGCAAUUUAUUGCAAGUGGUAGGAGAGCGUUCUGUAAGCCUGUGAAGGUGCGUUGUAAAGCGUGCUGGAGGUAUCAGAAGUGCGAAUGCUGACAUGAGUAGCGUUAAAGGGGGUGAAAAGCCCCCUCGCCGUAAGCGCAAGGUUUUCUACGCAACGUUCAUCGGCGUAGAGUGAGUCGGCCCCUAAGGCGAGGCAGAGAUGCGUAGCUGAUGGGAAACAGGUCAAUAUUCCUGUACCGAUGUGUAGUGCGAUGUGGGGACGGAUCUUAAUAGGUCAUCCGGGUGUUGGAUAUCCCGGUUUAGUUGGAAGUAGGCGUGCGUUAGGCAAAUCCGGCGCACAUAUACCGAGGCCAACGAUCGAGCCAGCUUGCUGGUGAAGUGACUGAACGAGGUUCCAGGAAAAGCCACUAAGCUUCAGCUGCACACGACCGUACCGCAAACCGACACUGGUGCGCGAGAUGAGUAUUCUAAGGCGCUUGAGAGAACUCAGGAGAAGGAACUCGGCAAAUUGACACCGUAACUUCGGAAGAAGGUGUGCCUUAUUAGUGUGAAGUGAACAACGGAGCAUGAAUGGGUUGCAAAAAAUCGGUGGCUGCGACUGUUUAUUAAAAACACAGCACUCUGCAAACACGAAAGUGGACGUAUAGGGUGUGACGCCUGCCCGGUGCUGGAAGAUUAAAUGAUGGGGUGCAAGCUCUUGAUUGAAGUCCCAGUAAACGGCGGCCGUAACGAUAACGGUCCUAAGGUAGCGAAAUUCCUUGUCGGGUAAGUUCCGACCUGCACGAAUGGCGUAACGAUGGCCACACUGUCUCCUCCUGAGACUCAGCGAAGUUGAAAUGUUUGUGAUGAUGCAAUCUCCCCGCGGAAAGACGGAAAGACCCCAUGAACCUUUACUGUAGCUUUGUAUUGGACUUUGAACAGAUCUGUGUAGGAUAGGUGGGAGGCUUUGAAGUGCGGUCGCUAGAUCGCAUGAAGCCAACGUUGAAAUACCACCCUGGUGUGUUUGAGGUUCUAACCUAGGUCCAUUAUCUGGAUCGGGGACAGUGCAUGGUAGGCAGUUUGACUGGGGCGGUCUCCUCCCAAAGCGUAACGGAGGAGUUCGAAGGUACGCUAGUUACGGUCGGACAUCGUGACGAUAGUGCAAUGGCAUAAGCGUGCUUAACUGCGAGACUGACAAGUCGAGCAGAUGCGAA
rnacentral:rRNA from 1 species